GCAGUCGACGCGUCUCCGUUGAUGAUUUUAGGUGCUUGCACUUGAAGAUUUAACAUUGAGACGAGUGGCGAACUGGUGAGUAACACGUGGGUAACCUGCCCUUGAAGUAGGGGAUAACACUUGGAAACAGGUGCUAAUACCGUAUAACAACCAAAACCACCUGGUUUUGGUUUAAAAGACGGCUUCGGCUGUCACUUUAGGAUGGACCCGCGGCGUAUUAGCUUGUUGGUAAGGUAACGGCCUACCAAGGCGAUGAUACGUAGCCGACCUGAGAGGGUAAUCGGCCACAUUGGGACUGAGACACGGCCCAAACUCCUACGGGAGGCAGCAGUAGGGAAUCUUCCACAAUGGACGAAAGUCUGAUGGAGCAACGCCGCGUGAGUGAUGAAGGGUUUCGGCUCGUAAAACUCUGUUGUUGGAGAAGAACAGGUGUCAGAGUAACUGUUGACAUCUUGACGGUAUCCAACCAGAAAGCCACGGCUAACUACGUGCCAGCAGCCGCGGUAAUACGUAGGUGGCAAGCGUUGUCCGGAUUUAUUGGGCGUAAAGCGAGCGCAGGCGGUUUUUUAGGUCUGAUGUGAAAGCCUUCGGCUUAACCGGAGAAGUGCAUCGGAAACCGGGAGACUUGAGUGCAGAAGAGGACAGUGGAACUCCAUGUGUAGCGGUGAAAUGCGUAGAUAUAUGGAAGAACACCAGUGGCGAAGGCGGCUGUCUGGUCUGUAACUGACGCUGAGGCUCGAAAGCAUGGGUAGCGAACAGGAUUAGAUACCCUGGUAGUCCAUGCCGUAACGAUGAGUGCUAAGUGUGGAGGGUUUCCGCCCUCAGUGCUGCAGCUACGCAUAGCACUCGCUGGGAGUACGA
rnacentral:rRNA from 2 species